AGAUCGGCUCGGAGAUCUUCGGUUAUACCCGGAGACGAUGACAUUAGCUGCAGAAUAAGCACCGGCUAACUCUGUGCCAGCAGCCGCGGUAAUACAGAGGGUGCAAGCGUUAAUCGGAAUUACUGGGCGUAAAGCGAGCGUAGGUGGCUUGAUAAGUCAGAUGUGAAAUCCCCGGGCUUAACCUGGGAACUGCAUCUGAAACUGUUAGGCUAGAGUAGGUGAGAGGGAAGUAGAAUUUCAGGUGUAGCGGUGAAAUGCGUAGAGAUCUGAAGGAAUACCGAUGGCGAAGGCAGCUUCCUGGCAUCAUACUGACACUGAGGCUCGAAAGCGUGGGUAGCAAACAGGAUUAGAUACCCUGGUAGUCCACGCCGUAAACGAUGUCUACUAGUCGUUGGGUCCCUUGAGGACUUAGUGACGCAGCUAACGCAAUAAGUAGACCGCCUGGGGAGUACGGCCGCAAGGUUAAAACUCAAAUGAAUUGACGGGGGCCCGCACAAGCGGUGGAGCAUGUGGUUUAAUUCGAUGCAACGCGAAGAACCUUACCUGGUCUUGACAUAUCUAGAAUCCUGCAGAGAUGCGGGAGUGCCUUCGGGAAUUAGAAUACAGGUGCUGCAUGGCUGUCGUCAGCUCGUGUCGUGAGAUGUUGGGUUAAGUCCCGCAACGAGCGCAACCCUUGUCCUUAGUUACCAGCGGGUUAAGCCGGGAACUCUAAGGAUACUGCCAGUGACAAACUGGAGGAAGGCGGGGACGACGUCAAGUCAUCAUGGCCCUUACGACCAGGGCUACACACGUGCUAACAUGGUAGGUACAGAGGGCAGCUACACAGCGAUGUGAUGCGAAUCUCAAAAAGCCUAUCGUAGUUCCAGAUGGGAGUCUGCCACUUCCACUCCAUGAAGUUAGGAAUCGCUAGUAAUCCCGGAUCAGAUUGCCGCCGGGAAUACCUUCCCCGGGCCUUGAACACACCGCCCGUCACCCCAGGGGAAUUGAUUGGCCCCAAAGUUGAAUUACUUAACCUUUCGGGGAGCCUUUCACCCCGGUGUGGUUUAAGAACGGGGGUGAAAUCCUUAACAAGGUAACCCUAAAGGAAACCUGCCGCUGGAA
rnacentral:rRNA from 1 species